rnacentral:snRNA from 1 species
AUACUUACCUGGCAGGGGAGAUACCAUGAUCACAAAGGUGGUUUUCCCAGGGUGAGGAUUAUUCAUUGCACUCUGGAUGUGCUGAUACCUGUGAUUUCCCCAAAUGUGGGAAUCUCAACAGCAUAAUUUGUGAUAGUGGAGGACUGAGUUUCUGCUCUACUCUGAG